UACAGAGGUGGCAAGCGUUGUUCGGAAUUACUGGGCGUAAAGGGCGCGUAGGCGGCCAUCUAAGUCAGACGUGAAAUCCCCCGGCUUAACCUGGGAACUGCGUCUGAUACUGGACGGCUUGAGUAUGGGAGAGGGAUGUAGAAUUCCAGGUGUAGCGGUGAAAUGCGUAGAUAUCUGGAGGAAUACCGGUGGCGAAGGCGGCAUCCUGGACCAUUACUGACGCUGAGGCGCGAAAGCCAGGGGAGCGAACGGG
rnacentral:rRNA from 1 species